rnacentral:rRNA from 1 species
AUACGAAGGGGGCUAGCGUUGUUCGGAAUUACUGGGCGAAAAGCGCGCGUAGGCGGAUUGGUCAGUUAGGGGUGAAAUCCCAGGGCUUAACCCUGGAACUGCCUCUAAUACUGCCAGUCUUGAGUUCGGGAGAGGUGAGUGGAAUUCCUAGUGUAGAGGUGAAAUUCGUAGAUAUUAGGAAGAACACCAGUGGCGAAGGCGGCUCACUGGCCCGAUACUGACGCUGAGGCGCGAAAGCGUGGGGAGCAAACAGGAUUAGAUACCCUAGUAGUCC